UAUAGUUUACACAAAACGUUAGACUGUGAAUCUAAAAAUAGAAAACACAUUUCUUAUUUACC
rnacentral:tRNA from 2 species